CGGCUGGUUUGUUGGAACACACAAGCUGGUAGUCCUUGAGCCACCAUGUAAAAAGUUCUACAAUCCUGAAGCCACCAUGCUAUGAGGAAGCCCAAAUCAACCAACGUGGAGAGACCUGGAAACUACAAGCAAAGAGAGAUGCAUGGCCAGCCCUAUUCCAACCUCCUAUUCCAGCUCCAGCCACUGUCUAACUGCACGUGCAUCUGAUGCCCUGAGUCGGAAUUGCCAGGGUCAGAGGAGGAAGGAUUAAUAAUCCAAACUCCAGUAUCAAGGUCACACCCCAAGCAAGGCCUGCAGGUCUAAGUGGUACAUCUAGUAAGCAGAGUCCUAAGGCUUCCUCGGCUACUACUGUAGCUCCUUUUGGCACAGAAGAUUGUGACAAGGUUUGAGCUGAAA